GGGGUUGUAGCCUUGAAUGAAGUACUCAUAAUCCUUUGGUCCCAGGUUCGAGUCCUGGUGGCCCACCA
rnacentral:tRNA from 1 species